GAUGAACGCUGGCGGCGUGCCUAAUACAUGCAAGUCGAGCGAACAGACGAGGAGCUUGCUCCUCUGACGUCGGCGGCGGACGGGUGAGUAACACGUGGAUAACCUACCUAUAAGACUGGGAUAACUUCGGGAAACCGGAGCUAAUACCGGAUAAUAUAUUGAACCGCAUGGUUCAAUAGUGAAAGACGGUUUUGCUUUCACUUAUAGAUGGAUCCGCGCCGCAUUAGCUAGUUGGUAAGGUAACGGCUUACCAAGGCAACGAUGCGUAGCCGACCUGAGAGGGUGAUCGGCCACACUGGAACUGAGCCACGGUCCAGACUCCUACGGGAGGCAGCAGUAGGGAAUCUUCCGCAAUGGGCGAAAGCCUGACGGAGCAACGCCGCGUGAGUGAUGAAGGUCUUCGGAUCGUAAAACUCUGUUAUUAGGGAAGAACAAAUGUGUAAGUAACUAUGCACGUCUUGACGGUACCUAAUCAGAAAGCCACGGCUAACUACGUG
rnacentral:rRNA from 1 species